ACCCUUCUUCUCCAUCUUUCUCCACCAAAAAUUAGGGAAGAAAAACAGCCAUGGGAGCUUGAAAAUUUCAGCAACAUAAACCUCUCUUAUGUAAGUCAUUUUGGUGUUGGUUUUGAUGUUUUUGAUGUUUUUGAGAUCCUUGAAGCAUGAUAUAGCUAUUUCUAUCAUUAUUUUGAACUAGGGUUUAUGUUCAAAAAUUCAAUCAUGUGUGCCAUGCAUGUUCUUUGAUGUUUAAUGGAAGAAAAUGAGUCUUGGUUAUGUAAUAAACAACUUCUGUGAAAGGAUUUUCAUGGAAAACACCUAAAUAGGCUAUUUUGUAAAAGUUAUAAAAAUAGGUUGUAAUUGGGUGAAAUAGUGGAAAUUUGGGGUUAUCGUAAGAGUAAUAAUUGGUCGGUUAAGCUUGGACAAUAAGGAAAUUCGAUAAAAAUAAAUUUUCGGGCUUAAGGGUAAAAUGGUCAUUUUGUGAAAGUCUAGGGGCAAAAUGGUCAUUUUUCCAAAAAUGUGAAUUUUGAUUGUCCAAAUUUAUUUAGUGAUUAAAUGAGUGAAUUUCAUCAUGUUAGAUUAAGAAAAUCGAGAUUUAGGCUUAAAUCGAGAAAGUGCGUGGUUAAGGACAAAAAGAGAAUAAUUAGCCGAAAUUGCAUUUGAGGUAAGUUCGUGUGAUUAAAUGAGCAUGAUAUUUAUGCCAUUGUUAUUAUACUUGAAAAUCUAUCUUUCCAUGAUUGUGUUAAAGUUUAUGUUGAUGAUAUUGUAUAAGAGAAAGUGAUGUCAAUGUAAAUAACAUUUAUGUGUUGAUUGAAUGCUUGGAGAUUUGAUGGAAUAUGAUAUUCAAUUGAAACGAGUAAGUUGUAUGUAAAUAAUACAACUACAUUGUUAUCAUAUGUGUUUAAAUUGAUAUAGCAUGAAUUUCUUGGUUGUGGAAAUGAUUAUGUAUGAUGAAUAUUGAGAUAGUAGAAUUCCCGUUUGAACCUUAAAAAACAAUUCGGAUAUUCAUGCCAUGACAUUCAGAUUAUUUGUGUACCAGUGUAAGACAUGUCUGGGACAUGCAUCAACUACAUUAUGAGAGCCAAUGUAAGACCAUGUCUGGGACAUGGCAUUGGCAUUGAGAUGAGAGCUAGUGUAAGACAUGUCCAGGACAUCCAUCGGCCUCGAGAUGUAAGCCAGUGUAAGACAUGUUUGGGACAUGCAUCGGCUACGAGAUGUGUCAGUGUAAGACCAUGUCUAGGACAUGAAAUCGGCACGGAUAUGUGAGAGCUAGUGUAAGACCAUGUCUGGGACAUGGCAUCAUCAUUAUACCCUAUGUUUGAGGCUUAGUGAAUAUCCGAGAGCUUUCUGAAUGGUUCAACGGUGAGAUUUACGAUUUAAGCUAAAUGGGAAAUGUUAUGACCAUAUUGUGAGUGGUACAGGUACUUACAUGAAAUUGAUGAGAUGUGAAUUCAAUUCAUGUUAUAUGAUUAGUAAGGAAUGGAUGUGAACAUGUUGAGUAGCACAGUGUUUUCAAGUUAGCUCGGGGUUGGAAAUUGUCGGAGGCAGUAUCACACUAUCAAGUCGCUACCUUCGGAAUAAUGAAGCAUAUAUUAGAAAUUUCAAGUGAAUGGUAUCUAUAGGGAUCUAGUUGAUUGACAUGUAUUAUUUUGCUUUAGCCAAAUGUGUCAGCUUAUAUUGAGUUAUAUGUAUAUGGCCAUGAGAUGUGGCUCAUAUUGAUUAUGGCUUGUAAGCCUAGCUAUUCAUGUCAUGUCUAAUGUUUAUAAGGUGAUUAUGUUUGUUUGCCAUGCAUGGUU
rnacentral:lncRNA from 1 species